rnacentral:rRNA from 1 species
UACGUAGGUGGCAAGCGUUGUCCGGAUUUAUUGGGUUUAAAGGGUGCGUAGGCGGUCUAUUAAGUCAGUGCUGAAAUAUCCCGGCUUAACCGGGAGGGUGGCAUUGAUACUGAUGGACUUGAGUGCAGUCGAAGUAGGCGGAAUUGACGGUGUAGCGGUGAAAUGCGUUAGAUAUCGGGAGGAACACCAGUGGCGAAGGCGAGUCUCUGGGAUGAGUGCUGACGCUGAGGCGCGAAAGCCAGGGGAGCAAACGGG